UACGUAGGCAGCGAGCGUUGUUCGGAAUUACUGGGCGUAAAGCGUGCGCAGGCGGUGAUGUAAGACAGAUGUGAAAUCCCCGGGCUCAACCUGGGAACUGCAUUUGUGACUGCAUCGCUGGAGUGCGGCAGAGGGGGAUGGAAUUCCGCGUGUAGCAGUGAAAUGCGUAGAUAUGCGGAGGAACACCGAUGGCGAAGGCAAUCCCCUGGGCCUGCACUGACGCUCAUGCACGAAAGCGUGGGGAGCAAACAGG
rnacentral:rRNA from 1 species